rnacentral:tRNA from 1 species
GGGGAGGUUGAGCAAUUGGUUAGCUCCCCAGACUGUAAAUCUGGCGCCUUCGGCUAUGUGGGUUCGAGCCCCACCCUCCCCACCA